rnacentral:lncRNA from 1 species
AUUGUGUUGAUUACAUUGUAAUGCCAGUGGGUGGCGACAAGUGAUUGUUAAAAAUGUGUUUGUCAUUGAAGCAUUCAUUCAUUUGUUUAUCUAUCCAGACUCGUUCAGCUGUGUGUGUGUGUGUGUGUGUGUGUGUGGUGUGUGUGUGUGUGCACAGGUGGCUCACCGCGCUGCUAUAACACCUCCGAUCCUCAGCUGAACUCCACAGAUUGGCUUGUGAGCUACAUUGGCAUCUUCAUCAGAUUCGUCAACCUGUCUGACCUCAACUCCUUCGUGUCGUCUGACCAGAUUGGUGUGUUCUUGGAGAACCCGGAGAACCUUCAGCUGCUCAAUGGCACCGUAACCAUCCAGUCCAGCGUAGCUAUCUACUAUGUGACACAGCUGUACAAUCAGAACCCGUCCUUCAACCCCGUCAGGCUGCCAGGUCAGUUCCUGUGUGCAGUCCCUUCAUUUGCAUUAGAGCUUUUAGGAGGCGCAGACAGUUUGGUGCUCAUCCAGCGGAUCAACGUGUUCUGUAAUGGAACCGAGAGCCCUGAGAUCACCUCUGCUCUCGCAGCCAAUCUCCCUUCGCUUUCCUCCUCCACCAUCCAGCUGCUCGGCAGUCAGAGCGUGGGCCUGACGGAGGCUCAGAUAAGCUCCGCCUCCUCUGAUGUCAUCAAGGGCGCGCUCUCGACCCUCAGCGCCGUCGACGGCUGGAAUCAGGGCCAAGCUAACGCCGUCAUACAGACUCUCAUCAAGUCUGACUUUCCAGUGAGUCUAAAUAACUCUUCCAGCUGCAUUUCUGAGAGUUGGAGCUGA